GACACGGUAUGGGGCGGGGCGGGGCGGCGCGGCUCCGGGGUGAAGCAGCGGAGGAGUGGGGACGGGGUGGCUCCGAAUUGAAGGCGGAGUACCGGCCUAGGGUUUACACUAAGGACAUGGUGACUGACUUUGAUGAGAAGCAUGAUGAAUAUUUAAUAUUACUUCAACAAAGAAACCGGAUAUUGAGACAUUUGAAAAGAAAGGACCCCAUGCAAAUCAAACUAGAGCAUUUAGAACAAGGAUUUUCUCUGUAUCUAAAUGGAGCUAAUUCAGAGUCAAGAAAUUGUCGCAGAAAACCAAGUUUUCAAGAAUUCUUUAGAUGUGGGUUGCAGACUGCAAGGAUAAAUGAUUCUGGUACGGCAGUCCAAGUAAAAGAAAUUGAACUGCAAGGACGCAGCACGCAGACUGCACCAAGCAAAAUCCAACGUAAAGGAUGGCGUCAGACACCUGUGCUGAUUAAAACGGAAACUGGCUCUAGACUCUGCAUUUCACCUCCUCUGGAGUACUCUGAUGAUUUUGAACCUUAUGAAAGCCUGAAUAUGGAGACAAACGACAAUCAUAUUAAUUGUUCCCAGAAUCUCAAGUCUCCCAAAAGCAGUCCUGUCAGUGACUUUAAAUUCACCACUCGGAACCCAGAACUCCAAGUACACGACGAUGUGGAAAAGGAAAGAAUACUUUUAAGUAUUGAUGAUGUAAAGGAAUUGAGAAGAAGUUUGGAACUCAGUGUAAGUCAGAAAAGGAUGGAGAAGGAAUGUUCUAGUGAUGACUAUGACUCUGUUGAGGAGGAUGUGCUUUUGGAGCACUCUCAAAUGGAAGAGACAGUUGCAAGUUUUGGAAGCCUCCAGUUGCCCAGUGGUGAGUCAUUACUGAAGGAUGUUCCCAAGUAUCAGGAGGCUGGAAGGUGCUGUGACCUUGAUGCUGGUGCUCUCGUGCUGGAAUUUAAGCAGAAUCUGACAAAUAUGAAACAGGAACGAAUUCUGUCUGCAAAGAGGAAAGAUGCUGCUGAAACCUACAUUCCAAUUAGACGUAUGAAGGUCAGAAGUAAAAUGGCUCGUCCACUUUCUGCUGGACCCCUGCACCAGGAGGGACAUGAAACAACCUGCUCCCGACCAGUAAGUCGACCAGAAAAGCCACUGUCAGCAACUCGAAGGAAUGUGUGUGAAAAGAAGGAUCCUGAGCAAUCUGCCUCUGCUGUCAUUAAAGCUAUGCAAGUUGAAAAUGAGAUCUUGCAAAGAGAGAUGCUUUGCAGAAGGCUGGAGACUUCUACCAGCAAUCAAAUGGUAUGCCAAAGUACUGACCUGGGACAAGAGAGAUCCAAGCUGCCUUCUGUUUCAAUUUCAUCUAUUUCUGCAACAAUUGAGCCUUCAGAAAAACAACAGGAAACAACUGUAGUCACAGAAGCCAUUGAAAGAAUUGGCCAUUUGGGAAGCAGGCAACAGAAGAAACUUUUGAAACUCCUGCAGGAAAUUGAGAGCUGUUCUACCUGCCACAGUCACGAAGUCCUACCUACUGAGGAACCGGAGCCAGAUUCUGUGGAUCAGCUGCAAACAAAGGCAGAAGUACAGGAUGCCAUUUAUGUGACUAUGGAAAUCCUCUCCAAUUGGGGGAAUGCAGUCAAUGUGGGCUUGACGGAGGUGGAAUUCUUUGAUUUACAUGCUGUCAGGAUGUUUGUGUCUCCUCAUGACGUGGACAUCCGAAAUGCUGACUCUCCAGGGGAUCUCUCUUGCCUGGUCAAUAGAAGCUUGAAUAGCACCAACGAGCGCUUCCUGUGGACGUGCCCUUUCCAUGCACCAGUUCAGCUUUACUUUGUUAUCCGCAAUCCCAGCUGGUCACGUGACUUUGGUAUAUCUAAAAUCAAGAUUUGGAAUUACAACACGACAACUCUUAGUGAUCUUGACAUAGGUGCAAAGAACGUGAAACUGUAUAUUGAUGAGAACCUUGUAUUCAAUGGUCAGUUAGAAAAAGGCUGUGGAGAUCUAACCACUGAUUUCAGCACUACAGUUGACCUUAAAGACAAUAGACAAGAGAUUGCUGCACAUUCUACACAAGGAAGAAAACAAUCAAAGGGAGCUAAUAGCACAGGCAAUAAGGAGGACCUGUAUUUAAAAUAUCCACAGCCAGACGGGGCUUCAUUACACUGGAAAUCUUCCUUAGAAGAAAAUCUCCCUGAGGAAAUGAUGAAUUCCAUCAACUUUAGGAAAGAGAAAUUGACUAGAUUAGAAGAAGAUCUGAAGGUGUUAUCAGCUCCUGUGUCUACGAAGGCUCUCAAGAAUGAUGUGUCAGAAUCAGCAGUUGUGGAGUACAUUCAGUCUGAUGAUGAGCUUACUAUGAGUGAGCAAAUGGAAAAACUAACCGGAAGAAAAUUAUCUGAAUCUACAGGAGUAACUCCAUCUUGGUUACAGUCCUCUUCUCGAGUGACAGAGAAGUGCCAUAAACAGAAACCCUCCUGGCUGGAUACAGAGCACCCUUUAGAUUUGAGAGUUCAAGAGCAGUCUGAUGGCACCAUGAGGGGCUGUCCAGGACUAACUGAUGAGACUAUCAAAUGUCACGGAAGUGAACUGGGGAGAUCCAACAGUAGGAAUACAAAUGGAGAUGAGAAGACACAAAUGGUAACCAGUAAAGGCUGUACUAUGGACUUGGACAUUUUAGACCAGCUUCCCAACAAGUAUUGCUGCACCCCUGAAUGUCCUGCUAGUGGGAGGAGAAGCGGCAGAGGUGUAAGAAAGGAGGGUUUAUGUACAAGUGAUGGAGAUGAAAGUCUGACGCACACAGAUGAAGCCCUUUGUGUCAAAGGCCUAAAAAACUUCAGAGCCGGGUGGCACAGUGAACAAGAACACACUCUGCAGGAGUCAUGGAACUCCCUUCUAAAGUUCAAUUAUUCUCACCGUGGGCGAAUCUCCAACAUGGAUUUUCAAGGGGAUAUCUUUGAUGAGUUUCUACAUCAGCAAAAAAUCAGCCGGCAUGGAGAACAUCAGCUUGUGAGGAAAGAAGGAAUACAAGUGCUACCAAAAAGACAAGAAGAAAAUUACAUGGAGACAGAUGAUGGAAAUGAUUUUAAAAUCCCUGUUUUGCCAUAUGGACAGUACUUAAUAAUAGAUAUUAAAUCCACAUGGGGAGACAGACACUAUGUUGGUCUUAAUGGAAUUGAAGUUUUUAGUUCCAAAGGAGAGCCUGUUCAGAUUUCAAAGAUAAAAGCUGAGCCACCUGAUAUAAAUAUUUUACCAGCCUAUGGCAAAGAUCCAAGAGUGAUAACCAAUCUAACUGAUGGGGUAAAUCGGACACAGGAUGACAUGCACCUUUGGCUAGCACCUUUUACUCCUGGGAAGCCUCACCUUAUCUAUAUUGACUUUGUGAAUCCCUGUCAAGUAGCUAUGAUUAGGAUUUGGAAUUAUAAUAAAUCCCGAAUACACUCCUUCCGAGGUGUGAAGGAUAUUACAAUGCUAUUAGAUGAGCAAUGCAUCUUUAAAGGAGAAAUUGCGAAGGCUUCAGGAACAUUGUCUGGAGCUCCAGAGCACUUUGGGGAUACUAUAUUGUUCACAACUGAUGAUGAUAUUCUAGAGGCCAUAUUCUGCUAUGAUGAGACUUAUGAUGGAGAAAUUGAAAAUGUGUGCUCGCUAAGAUAUGAGGAAGAGCUAAAGAGACCAAGGACUGCUGAUGGGGAGGGAGAUGAGAGACCUUUUACACAAGCAGGCUUAAGAACAGAUGAUAAGCAGGUUCAAGAGCAAGUGAUGGUGUCAGACCAUCUUUCUGAGCUUACACCUAAGGUACCCGGGGUAUACACUGGACAAUGUCUGCAGCUAAAUUUCACCUUAUCCUGGGGAGACUCACAUUAUCUUGGACUGACUGGACUUGAAGUAGUAGGAAAGGAUGGUCAGGCUUUACCAAUUACUAUGGCUCAGAUUUCUGCUUCACCACAAGAUUUAAAUGACCUUGCAGAGUACAUGGAAGAUUCCAGAACAUUAGACAAGUUAAUAGAUGGGACUAACAUCACUGUUGAAGAUAAUCAUAUGUGGCUUAUUCCUUUCACUUAUGGGGAAGAUCACAUGAUCACAAUCCAUUUUGAUAAAGCUGAAAAUAUUGCAGGGCUUCGCUUUUGGAACUAUAAUAAAUCUCCAGAGGAUACCUAUAGAGGGGCUAAGGUUGUCCAUGUCUCGCUGGAUGGACAUUGUAUCUCCCCGCCAGAGGGCUUUCUUAUCCGAAAGGGACCAGGCAACUGUCACUUUGACUUUGCUCAAGAAAUUCUCUUCAUUGACUACUUGAAGCCCCAACAGAUUAUCAGACCAUAUGGGAGAACUAAUGCAAGGGGGAUGGAACAAUCUAGUAUGGACUAUGAAGCACCAUUGAUGCCAUGUGGUUUUAUUUUCCAGUUUCAGCUUCUAAAGAGCUGGGGUGAUCCAUACUAUAUUGGUUUGAAUGGACUAGAGUUGUAUAAUGAACAUGGAGACAAAAUCUUACUCACUGAAAACAAUCAGAUAUUGUACUAAACUGCACCAGACGUAGCCAGUCCAAGAAUCAAGGCAACACAAAUGUGGCUUAAAAGCCACUGUUGAGCCAUCUUGGGCUCAACCACCCCCAUGAACCUGGCCCAUUGUCUUCAGUGGAGUACUCCCUAUCUUUAAUUGUGUAGCUGAGAGCAGAAUCAGUCCCCUGAGCUCCCAGGUAAAUUAGAAGGCUGAGCCAGUAUAUUAAAUACCACCAUUAAUCUUCUCACAGGCAAGGCAGUGUCAGAUCUAUAUUUCAGGUGGAUUCAGAAAAUAAAAAACUCAGUGUCAGCAUCUGGCAACCUAAAGUUACAGAAACCAGAUUUACAGUAGUAUAUACUUAAUUGCUGCCUUAGAAAGCAUAUUAAAACCCCAAGAAUGUUAGUAAAGACCCCUGAGGCAUGAUAACACCAUCCCUUCUUAAAGAUAAUCAGAAAUACUGUUUCUUUAAAGAGAUUGUCCUGGAAAAGUUAGCUCUCCCUAUGGAGAAUGUAUUCAUGGAACCACACUCUCCCUGAAGCCCAAAGAUAGAAUCCUAGCAAGAAAUAAAAGUAGAACAAUAUAUUGAAAACAUACAAUAUUAUUAUUUUCAACUUUUAAAAAUAGGCUUGCAUACUCCUGUGGUCAGCGAACUGCUUUGGAACAUCUGGCAAGGCUUAUCCAUGGUCUAUUGCUAAACUUACCUGAAUUACAGUAAUGCUGAGGAGCUCCCAGACAUGGAUCAGAACCCUGUGGUGCUAGGUGCUAUACAAACACAGAACACAGGGACAGUCCCUACCCCAAAGAGCUUACAGUCUGAAUAUGAGACAAGAGACAACAGGCUGACACAACCAACAGAGGGGGGAGCACAAGGAAGCAAUGUGAUGAUCCUAGCCAGCCAUGUUAAGUUUUUAGUCAGCCUCAGGGCAAAGGGGAGUUUUAAGGGAUCUGAAAGAGGACAAUGAGGUAGCUUUACAAAUGUUAUGAGGAGUAGUUCCUGGGCAAAAGGGGCAGCGUGGGACGCAGCACCAAGGUGCUUGUUGGAAAAUGUAACAAGUGAGCAGUGGAGGAGGGGAAUGCAGAGGGGAGAGUCAUUAUCUCAAUAGCGUAUCAGAGAUGAAAGGUAAGUGGGAAUAGGCCACAAGGGCCUUAUAACCAAGACCAGUAGUUUUUGAUGCAAUAGCAAGGGGGGAGCCAGUGGAGAGAUGUGCAGAGUGGAGGGACACGGUUGGAGUGAUGAGGCAAGGACAUGAUCUUUGCCAUAGCAUUUUGGAUGGAUGUAAGUGGGGAAGAUUGCAUUUGUCAAGGACAUGUUGCAGCAGUCGAGACAUGAGAUGAUGAGGGCCUAAGUGGGCGUUUUAGCUGUGUGGAUGGCAAGGCCGGGUCUUAGAGAUGUUGUGCAGGAAGAAGCAGCAAGAUUUCGACUGGCCUGAAUCAGUGAGCCUAGAGGAAGAUCAGAGUCAAAGAGGACAUCCUGGUUCCAGGCAUGAGAGACAAGCAGGAAGGUGGUGCUGGCCACAGUAAUUGAGACAGGAGGGGGAGGGAAAGGCUUUGAGCGAAGAAGAAAGAGCUCUGUUGUAGGUUAAGCUAAUGGCUGGACAUCCAGGAGGAGAUGUUAGAGAGACAAUCUGAGAUUUCAAGUCUGAACAGAAGGAGAGAGGUCCAGAGUGGAGAACUAGAUCUGUUAAUCAUUGGCAUGGAGAUGAUAGUUGAACUCAUUAAAUGCUUAAAUAUCAUUUUUCUGCUUUCCAGCUCUGCUCCUUUAAUACAAACCUUUGAGUCUUGUUCUUCACGUUUGUCAUGCUUUAUUUUGCAUUCCUUCAUUUGAUGUUUGUCAUGUUUUACUGAAAAUUAAAUGAACUCUUUUCUCUGACAGGUGAAUAGGGUUUAUGUUAUUUUUGACCUGCCCACUACCGUGUCAAUGAUCAAACUGUGGAAUUAUGCAAAAACUCCCCAGAGGGGAGUGAGAGAAUUUGGUCUUCUUGUAGAUGACUUGCUUGUGUACAAUGGAAUUCUAGACAUGGUG